AAAUCCCUCAGGUUGUUGAUGCGUGACGUGCGCCCGAGGUCUCGCGCUCUUGGCUUACCUCAGACACACUGCAGCAGUGUGGCGAGCGCGCGUGAAAAAAAUCACCACGGCUUCCGUGAUUUUGCUGUGUGAGAGCAAACAGAUGUACAAGUCGUUUGUAAAAACCAUUCAUAUCAUUCCAGGUGCAGAAAACAGAGCAGUUCAGUCUUUUCUAUCCCAAUACGUAUGGAUGGCACUGCAGCUUCUUCACACCCACGAAAGAGAAAAAGUUUCAAGUUGACUUUUUAUUCAGGAACUCCAGCAGAUUCCUAUGCGACAGCACCCAGCCGAAUGCUAGAAGUAGAUCUCGGCUCCCCACCUCUUCUAUGUGACUAGGGGACCAAGGCCCCACAACCCACGGAGCCCCAUAACCACAGUGCCACAAAGCACUCUUUACAAACAGAAGUUGUGUGUCUGUAAGCACAAUAGUUAGACACAGUGGGCUACAUGAAUAAUUACAUAUCAAACAUAAAUCUGUAGUGGUGAGCAGCCGUAAGUUUUACCCAAAUCUUGGUGUUUGGAGUCCUUGCACUCACAAUCCAACACAAAGGCUCUCUGCAGGAGACUGCAUAACAAACUCCACAUGUCCACUGCCUGAAAGCAAAAAUAAAAACAUGUUUUUGAGCA